rnacentral:rRNA from 1 species
CUGUCGUCAGCUCGUGUCGUGAGAUGUUGGGUUAAGUCCCGCAACGAGCGCAACCCUUGUCACUAGUUGCUACGGUAACGGGCACUCUAGUGAGACUGCCGGUGACAAACCGGAGGAAGGUGGGGACGACGUCAAGUCCUCAUGGCCCUUAUGGGUAGGGCUUCACACGUCAUACAAUGGCGCAUACAGAGGGCUGCCAACCCGCGAGGGGGAGCCAAUCCCAGAAAGUGCGUCGUAGUCCGGAUUGCAGUCUGCAACUCGACUGCAUGAAGUCGGAAUCGCUAGUAAUCGCGGAUCAGCAAUGUCGCGGUGAAUACGUUCCCGGGUC